rnacentral:rRNA from 1 species
UACGAAGGGGGCUAGCGUUGCUCGGAAUCACUGGGCGUAAAGCGCACGUAGGCGGCUUGUUAAGUCAGGGGUGAAAUCCUGGAGCUCAACUCCAGAACUGCCUUUGAUACUGGCGAGCUCGAGUCCGGGAGAGGUGAGUGGAACUGCGAGUGUAGAGGUGAAAUUCGUAGAUAUUCGCAAGAACACCAGUGGCGAAGGCGGCUCACUGGCCCGGUACUGACGCUGAGGCACGAAAGCGUGGGGAGCAAACAGGG